rnacentral:rRNA from 1 species
AUUGAACGCUGGCGGCAGGCCUAACACAUGCAAGUCGAGCGGAGCGGCGGACGGGUGAGUAAUGCCUAGGAAUCUGCCUGGUCGUAGGGGAUAACGUCCGGAAACGGGCGCUAAUACCGCAUACUAUCAGAUGAGCCUAGGUCGGAUUAGCUAGUUGGUGGGGUAAAGGCCUACCAAGGCGACGAUCCGUAACUGGUCUGAGAGGAUGAUCAGCCACACGGGGACUGCGACACGGCCCAGACUCCUACGGGAGGCAGCAGUGGGGCAUAUUGCAGAAUGGGCGGAAGCCUGAUGCAGCCAUGCCGCGUGUAUGAAGAAGGCCUGAGGGUUGUAAAGUACUGUCAGCGGGGAGGCGUUACCCGCAGAAGAAGCACCGGCUAACUGCGUGCCAGCAGCCGCGGUAAU